AGUGAACGCUGGCGGUAGGCCUAACACAUGCAAGUCGAACGGCAGCACAGUAAGAGCUUGCUCUUACGGGUGGCGAGUGGCGGACGGGUGAGGAAUACAUCGGAAUCUACUUUUUCGUGGGUGAUAACGUAGGGAAACUUACGCUAAUACCGCAUACGACCUACGGGUGAAAGCAGCGGAUCUUCGGACCUUGCGCGAUUGAAUGAGCCGAUGUCGGAUUAGCUAGUUGGCGGGGUAAAGGCCCACCAAGGCGACGAUCCGUAGCUGGUCUGAGAGGAUGAUCAGCCACACUGGAACUGAGACACGGUCCAGACUCCUACGGGAGGCAGCAGUGGGGAAUAUUGGACAAUGGGCGCAAGCCUGAUCCAGCCAUACCGCGUGGGUGAAGAAGGCCUUCGGGUUGUAAAGCCCUUUUGUUGGGAAAGAAAAGCAGCAGGUUAAUACCCCGCUGUUCUGACGGUACCCAAAGAAUAAGCACCGGCUAACUUCGUG
rnacentral:rRNA from 1 species